CAAAAUAUAGUUUAAAAAAUUUUAAUUUUGGAGAUUAAAGAUAUAAGAGAUUAUUAUUUUGA
rnacentral:tRNA from 1 species